UUUUUUCACAAAACAUUUUAUUACUAUAAUUGAUAUUUUACUUAUAAUUUUUGGCAACAUUAAUAAAAUAAUAAAUUUCAUCUGAAAGAACAAGCGAGCAAAAUAGACAAGGAAAUUCACAAAGGGUAAUAACAAAAUAGUAAUCUUGACAUAUUCAAUAUAUUUGUAAACAAAACAAAGUGACAUUGCCUUAAAAAUAUAUAGAGGUAUCAAUAAAAAAAGAGAAAGCUCCUGAAAGAACUCACUAUAUUAAUUUUCAUUUGGUUGCAGGCACAGAAAUUGACUCGAGCUAGCUCAACUCUAAGACAGAAGCAAAGCCCUUGAUGAUGAUCGUUUUUCAGCUUUUUCAUGAAAACUUAGGAAAUUUAAAUACACUGAAGAGGGAAGAAAAGAGUAGGGAGAGAGUAAAGUGCCUUUAAGAGGAAAAAGUAAAAGUUUUUUUUUUUUUUUACAGGGAGAUCUCAUUGUCAGUGGCAUUUUAAGAGCCUUGAAGCUCAAUGAACCAAAGGAAGUGUCAAACAAUUAAGUGAGGUAGCAAGCCAUGCAGGCCUAGGGGAAGGGCAUUCUAAGAAAGACAAUAGCAUGUGCAAAGUCUUUGGAUUGGGAAGAAUGUGAUUUGCUUAAGGAAUAGCAAGGCCAGUGUGUCAAAAUAGUGCAUCAUUGGGGAAAAGAGUGGAGAAGCAUGACAUAGAAUGAAAGAGAGUAAGGAGGUAGGCAGGGGCCAGAUCACUGGAAUCUAUAGUUGGCAAUUAAUGACCAUAUGUACUCCUUAAGAGCAUGCUUUAAUGAAACAGCAAACAACAGUGUUGAUAAUACCAACCAAUCACUCAACAUACAACUAAAAUAUUUCAUAUUUUUACCACAGAAACAGAAUACGGGAGGUAAGUAUGAAAAGUCUGUAGAUCUAUUUAUACACAGUAGGAGUAUCUACCUGAGACAAGAAAAACUGGCACAAACACACCCACUUGCACACACAUACCCUUUCGUCAACUAAAGAAAGGAUUCAGGCUGAAAUUUUAGCAAAGUGUCUUAACCCAAGCAAAGUAACUGAAAAGACCUAGUAAAGUGUUCAAGGUGCAAAUCAAUCAAGUGAGUGUCAGACAAAUAAAUACAAUGGGAGCUACAGUCAGAAAAUGUUGCAAAAUAUAGAUAAUAUACUCACAACUUAUUUGUUAUCUGUACUGCCUUCUAGUUCUAAGAGGGAUGCUAAGCUCUUAAUUAUCUCUUCGCAGACUUUUGUGAAAGCUUAGGAAAUUUAACUAGAUUGAGGAGGGAAAAAAGGAGUGGGGAGAGAUAAUAUACCUUUAAAAAGAAAUCAAGGAAAAAGGGAAAGACUUCUCCAGACCUAUGUCUAUAGCCAAGAUGGCAGAUUCCAUGACUGGUGAAGACAGGUUGCUGGGCACCUUAGUCGGGGGUGGAGGUACAAAGGAUGGCACCAGAACACAACCAAGGAGACAACUCCAGGAGUCCACAGAGGCACCGAAGGCUGCUGAUGUUCAGGAACCAAUACUCAAAAAGUACUCCAGAAUACUGUGAAACAGUCCCUGGGGAGAGGAAGCGAAAAAGGUUCACCCACAGUACAGAUUAGAUAGGACAGAUCAGAUGAAGGACAUUAAGUCUUAACACUUACUGAAUUAGGGAGACAUUUCUUGCACACUGGUAUGUAUCAAGUAAGACCCAAACAGCAUUAGUGUCAAUAAACUGGGAAACUAUACAUAAAACAGAAGAACUGUAAGCUGCAAUACAUUCAUGUCCAAGGCAAGACAUAAAAGUUGUAAGCUUCACAUGUUCAAUUAGGGUAAGAUAUAUAUGCACAGAAAAAUAUAAAGCCAUUAUGGGUUUAAAUUUAGUCAGUCACCCUGGGCUAUUUUUGUCCACUGUACCUACUGUUCUUGGACAGUCCUCAUUCCAGCUCAACAGUGGGAAAACUAAAUUUAGCCCAGUCCAGGAAAUGGACAGACACCACUUGUUUGGCCCUUUUCAGUUAAAACUAUGGGUCCAGUACAGUUCAAAUUAUAGAUAUCAGGGCUUCUUCCCCUUGGGAAACUUAACUUGCUUUACUGCUGUGGCUCAGAGGAAUAUGGCCAGUUCAUUCUCCACUAACGGCUAGCCAGAAGGGAGAGGAGAGAGAAUGAAUCAAUUUCACCUUUAGAUCACAGAAUGGGAAGUCAGAUAGCACCAGGCAUCAUUCUAUUAUUAAUUGUAUUGCUAUUUCAUCUCAAACCAAUGAUACAUGGCA
rnacentral:lncRNA from 1 species